AUUCCCAUCAAACAGUCAAGUUUGAGGUACAAGUUUAUUUUUUUAUAUCAAGUUUAGGCAACCAGAGUUAGUUGCUUCUACAUGUUAUUCACAUCAGUUCUGUCUGAUUUUGAGGAUAAUUAUGGGAAGGGUUGGGUUUAGGAGUAUGCAUUGGGCUAAGACUACAUUUUCAGACAGAAAUUAUGAAAAAUCCAGUUCGAGCAGGCGCAAUUCAAAAGUGCUGAUGAGAGUCUACGACAUCUGAAAUGAUGUGAGCAAUACAGCAGAUUUUCACAUGUGGCAGAUUUCUCCUCAAAAAAAAAAAAAAAAAGCUGUGUAAAUCUUGUUCGAUCCUCAAACUGUCAGUAAAGCUGAUAACUCCGCCCCCUUUGCCUUGACCGAAUCAACUGAAGCUCUGCAGCGACAGCACAGCAGACGGGUGAGACGGCAGCUGAACGAACUUUUGCAACGACAAUGAUUGAGGCCCAUGCUGAUGUGAUGACCACUGAUGGCUAUCUUCUCCUCCUGGUCUGCGUGGGCUUCACCAAGAAGAGCACCAGAUCAGAAAGACCCAUGCUCAGCACCAGCAGGUCCGUCAGAUCCGCUAGAAGAUGAUGGAAAUCGUGACUCGUGAGGUCCAGACCAAUGACCUCAAGGAGGUGGUCAACAAACUGACUGAUUUGUAAACAAAACUGGAUUUGCAG